rnacentral:rRNA from 1 species
UACGAAGGGGGCUAGCGUUGCUCGGAAUCACUGGGCGUAAAGGGUGCGUAGGCGGGUCUUUUAAGUCAGGGGUGAAAUCCUGGAGCUCAACUCCAAAACUGCCUUUGAUACUGAAGAUCUUGAGUUCGGGAGAGGUGAGUGGAACUGCGAGUGUAGAGGUGAAAUUCGUAGAUAUUCGCAAGAACACCAGUGGCGAAGGCGGCUCACUGGCCCGAUACUGACGCUGAGGCACGAAAGCGUGGGGAGCAAACAGGG